rnacentral:misc_RNA from 1 species
UUAAGUUCAGCGGGUAUCCCUACCUGAUCCGAGGUCAAACGUGGUAGAAUGGGGUGUUCCGGCGGACCUCCGGCCUGGCCUCCAAAGCGUGGAUGUUUUACUACGCUUGAAGCCAGGCGGGGUCGCCACUGCUUUUCGGGAGCGUCCAGGGGACGGGGCCCAACACCAAGCCAGGCUUGAGGGUUGUAAUGACGCUCGAA